AAAGAACAGCACCGAGCGUUCCCGCGUGGUCUCCCACCGCAGUACUACUCCCGGCUCAAUGCAGCUUAAAUAGGGCUGAUCGGACGGGAAGCCUUGAGCCUGCAUGAUAUGGCCGUUCUU
rnacentral:rRNA from 1 species